GAAAAUAAAAUUGUUUUUCUAAAUUUACUUUAUCAACAAUGCCUAUUGACGAGAGGUAACUUUUAAAUAAAAUAGAAAACUGCGAUAAUCGAGUGAAACAUCGAUCUGAGAGAGAACACGUUUAUUCCUUUGAGAGAGGGAGAGAGAGCAGGAUAAAAACUCGUUAUAUCCGUUCUUAGAAAUAACAAAUGGCUGACGCCUUAAAUCGAAAUCAAACUCGUUGGAAAAAAUAGUGUUAAAUAAAAGAAAUUUUAUACAAGACAAACUGAAAAAUCUUUACCCACAAAAAAAUAAAUUAUCAUCAAACUCACUGCGAAAAAGAAAGGAUCAGGAUAAUGGAUUGUUUCUUGGUUUCGGAGCACGAACUAGUUUUCUGGAUUGGUUACAGGAUUCCUCCGUAGUUUCCGGAUUAUACGGGAUUGUCUACAGGAUUCUUCUGAUGGAAAAUUGGACUGCUGUUCUUCGGAUGAUCUCGAAGAAGUUUCAGGAGUUUUCGGAAUAUGUUACGUACAUUGGAGUACACGCCAAAUUUCAUCAAUAAGCAAAGUUAGAAAAAUUCAAUUUUAAAUCAAGGAUUUCCUCCUCAAAAUAACGUUAAAACAUCGAAGGAUGGAUGAAAAAUGUGCUUUAGGAGCUGAACUAUAUUAAUUGAUACUUUUGGAAGCAAACUAAACGG